CUAGCCGUAAACGAUGGAUACUAGGCGUUGUGAGUAUCGACCCUCACAGUGUCGUAGCUAACGCGUUAAGUAUCCCGCCUGGGGAGUACGCGCGCAAGCGUGAAACUCAAAGGAAUUGACGGGGGCCCGCACAAGCGGUGGAGUAUGUGGUUUAAUUCGAUGCAACGCGAAAAACCUUACCAGGACUUGACAUGUCGCGAAUCUCAGGGAAACUUGAGAGUGCCUUCGGGAGCGCGAACACAGGUGGUGC
rnacentral:rRNA from 1 species